GCUUACGGCCACACCUCCCUCAGCACGCCCAAACUCAUCUGAUCUUGGUAGUUAAGCAGGGUCGGGCUUGGUUAGUACUUGGAUGGGAUACCGCCUGGGAAUUCCAGGUGCUGUAAGCC
ensembl:rRNA 5S_rRNA 5S ribosomal RNA